CGGGAUGUCACGUCUUUCUUAUAUCAGUAUACUCGUAACAACUUAAGCAUUACGAAACGUAUUUUGGAUCAAAUAAACCUCACUUAGAAAAUAAUCCAUACUUUUUGUUGACCAAAUUCGACAUUCUUAAAAAACGCCUUGCUUGGUGGGCGAAACAACGAAUAACACCUCCUACUGGAGGGAGACAGCUGUUUUUUUGUAGAGUUGGGCCUCUCUCUUCCUCUCCCUGGCUGUACCCAAUAUGGCGAUACGGCUCGUGUAUACUAGCACGCAGUAAAAUGCAGAGUGCUGCCUCGGCCGCACAGAGUGGCUCGCUUGUGGGCGUGCUGGCAACAUAUGGACACUACUCAAUUGUGCGUCAAGAAUUCAACAAGUUUGUAGGAAGGUCUGGUUAUUAAAUGGGUUAAGAGUUUAAUCCAUUCUCCAUUUCAUGAAUUUAUUCAAAGGUAAAUGGUUAUAUGCUCUAAACCGCUCUCGUGACAAACUUUGCUGCCCUGUUUCCAAUCGUCCACAAUGGCUGGGAGAACCUAUUCAAGUAACGUUAAGUGAAUACAUUUCGAAAAUGUUUUUAAAACAUGUAUUAUGAGCUAACUAGCUACAGUGCAGGCUAAAUCAAAUGAGCUGCUAGCUAUCUAGCCAACUUUACAUACCGUAUAGAUAUAGUUAAGUUAAUUAAAGUUAAUUAAAUAUCACCUGCUACCUGCUGCUAACUUCAUAUUAGCUAGCUAUCUUGAUGUAUUUAUCACUGUAAAAAAUACAUCGAAACGCAUUUGUAGGUAGCUAGCUAGCUAACAGCCAUGGAGGAGGGUGAAAGGAUAGCAGCCCCAAGUGUCAAAGUGAGAGAAAAGGCUAUUCUGCAUAGGGCAGGUACUUUUGUGUAGUUCCAGUCCCUAUAAGUGAGGACGGAGAUAAUAGUAACGUAAUAUUCAGUGCGGUCUAAUUUGAGUAUAAUGAAUUCUGUUUCUUGUGAGGGUUUCUGUGCUCAGAGCUGUGAAAGCCUGUCUGCAGAUGAAGAGGUACCAAUGAAGUGCAGUGGUUCUCAGUCCUGGGGACUCAAAGGGGUGCACUUUUCUGUUUUUGACUUAGCACUACACAGCUGAUUCAAAUGAUCAACUCAUCAUCAAGGUUGAAGUGGUAUUUAUGUAUUAAUUAGUGAUGCUAUCCUUGUGUGCACAUGCAUCUAUCUAUCCAAUGUUAUCAUGAUUUGUUAUAAGGGUUAUUAUACUUUAUUAUAAACUGUGUGGUCCCAGCCCUGAAUGCUGAUUGUCUGACAGCCGUGAUAUAUCAGACCGUAUACCACAGAUACCUUGUUACUGGAGAUUCCUUCAAACUGAUUUCCUACAGUUACCGUGUAGGGCACUGCAAGGUUGGGUGACCAGGGCCAUCUGGGACUGCCUCCUGGGGGAAUUCAUGCGUGUGAAGGCUACCUGUGUCCUGCAUGACUUCAUGAGUAUGGACACGAGGACCUGGAGGGGUUCUACUGCUGUGUGCUAGAGGAGAGGUCUGCUGGAUGGGGACCAACAACGCAGCACAGGAGGCAAUCCGUGUGUGGGAGAUCUUUACCUCCUACUUCUUUGAAGAGGGUGCUGGCCCCUGGCAACAGCAUAUACUACACUGUAGAUGGCUCUUUUAAGAGCCAUCCACAUUGCAAUAAGAGUAUUCUUACAUUUACUUAGCUAUGUCAACUGCAGUUAUUACAUUUCCCAGUUUCUCUCCUUUUGAUUUCUACUUCUCAGGUGAAGGUGCUGUUCAAGUAAGGGUGAUGUCUGUACAAAAACAAAACAGGCGCUUUUAAGAGUCAAAAAUAAUUUUGCACGCCUAAUUUUUCAGUUUUUGAUUUGUUAAAAAUAUUUGAAAUAUCCAAUAAAUGUCGUUCCACUUCA
ensembl:lncRNA